GGGCCUCUAGCUCAGUUGGUAGAGCAGCGGACUUUUAAUCCGCGGGUCGUGGGUUCGAAACCCACGGGGCCCA
rnacentral:tRNA from 1 species